rnacentral:piRNA from 1 species
UACUCAGUAGGUUUGUAGUUAAGCAGUAA